CAGCCGCCACGGUAACACGUAGGGUGCAAGCGUUAAUCGGAAUUACUGGGCGUAAAGCGUGCGCAGGCGGUUAUAUAGGUCAGAUGUGAAAUCCCCGGGCUCAACCUGGGAACUGCAUUUGAGACUGUAUGGCUAGAGUGUGUCAGAGGGGGGUAGAAUUCCACGUGUAGCAGUGAAAUGCGUAGAAAUGUGGAGGAAUACCGAUGGCGAAGGCAGCCUCCUGGGAUAACACUGACGUUCAUGCCCGAAAGCGUGGGUAGCAAACAGGAUUAGAUACCCCAGUAGUCCCUGUCUCUUAUAC
rnacentral:rRNA from 1 species